rnacentral:rRNA from 1 species
AUUGAACGCUGGCGGCAGGCCUAACACAUGCAAGUCGAGCGGAUGAAGGGAGCUUGCUCCUGGAUUCAGGGGCGGACGGGUGAGUAAUGCCUAGGAAUCUGCCUGGUAGUGGGGGAUAACGUCCGGAAACGGGCGCUAAUACCGCAUACGUCCUGAGGGCGAAAGUGGGGGAGCUUCGGACCUUACGAUAUCAGAUGAGCCGAGGUCGGAUUAGCUAGUUGGUGGGGUAAAGGCCUACCAAGGCGACGAUCCGUAACUGGUCUGAGAGGAUGAUCAGUCACACUGGAACUGAGACACGGUCCAGACUCCUACGGGAGGCAGCAGUGGGGAAUAUUGGACAAUGGGCGAAAGCCUGAUCCAGCCAUGCCGCGUGGGUGAAGAAGGUCUUCGGAUUGUAAAGCACUUUAAGUUGGGAGGAAGGGCAGUAAGUUAAUACCUUGCUGUCUUGACGUUACCAACAGAAUAAGCACCGGCUAACUUCGUG